GACAAGAUGGCCGAGCGGUUAAGGCGUGUGACUCGUAAGCCUGCCCCCCGAUUUGGCCUUGAUGCACAUUCUAACCUCCCACCAGAAGUGAAUAACUUGCCAUCUUUGAUGGUUGAUUUCUCAUAGACGUUGUCUGCGUGGGUUCGAAUCCCACUCUUGUCA
rfam:Clohesyomyces aquaticus strain CBS 115471 BCR34scaffold_27, whole genome shotgun sequence.